rnacentral:rRNA from 1 species
AGUGAACGCUGGCGGUAGGCCUAACACAUGCAAGUCGAACGGCAGCACAGUAAGAGCUUGCUCUUACGGGUGGCGAGUGGCGGACGGGUGAGGAAUACAUCGGAAUCUACUUUUUCGUGGGGGAUAACGUAGGGAAACUUACGCUAAUACCGCAUACGACCUACGGGUGAAAGCAGGGGAUCUUCGGACCUUGCGCGAUUGAAUGAGCCGAUGUCGGAUUAGCUAGUUGGCGGGGUAAAGGCCCACCAAGGCGACGAUCCGUAGCUGGUCUGAGAGGAUGAUCAGCCACACUGGAACUGAGACACGGUCCAGACUCCUACGGGAGGCAGCGUGGGGAAUAUUGGACAAUGGGCGCAAGCCUGAUCCAGCCAUACCGCGUGGGUGAAGAAGGCCUUCGGGUUGUAAAGCCCUUUUGUUGGGAAAGAAAAGCAGCAGGUUAAUACCCCGCUGUUCUGACGGUACCCAAAGAAUAAGCACCGGCUAACUUCGUG